rnacentral:rRNA from 1 species
UCGAGGAUCUUCGGCAAUGGGCGCAAGCCUGACCGAGCGACGCCGCGUGUGCGAUGAAGGCCUUCGGGUUGUAAAGCACUGUCGAGGGGGAGAAAAGCCCGCAAGGGUCUGAUCUAUCCCUGGAGGAAGCACGGGCUAAGUUCGUGCCAGCAGCCGCGGUAAGACGAACCGUGCGAACGUUGUUCGGAAUCACUGGGCUUAAAGGGCGCGUAGGCGGGUCGUAAAGUCCGGGGUGAAAGCCUCCCGCUUAACGGGAGAAGAGCUUUGGAUACUGACGAUCUUGAGGGAGGUAGGGGCAUGUGGAACUUCCGGUGGAGCGGUGAAAUGCGUAGAUAUCGGAAGGAACGCCGGUGGCGAAAGCGACGUGCUGGACCUCUUCUGACGCUGAGGCGCGAAAGCCAGGGGAGCAAACGGGAUUAGAUACCCCGGUAGUCC